rnacentral:tRNA from 1 species
GGAGAGAUGGCUGAGUGGUCGAAAGCAGCACAUUGCUAAUGUGCCGUACCUAAUUUGGUACCGGGGGUUCGAAUCCCCCUCUCUCCGCCA